GACGAACGCUGGCGGCGUGCUUAACACAUGCAAGUCGAACGGAAAGGCCCUGCUUUUGUGGGGUGCUUGAUUGGCGAACGGGUGAGUAACACGUGAGUAACCUGCCCUUGACUUUGGGAUAACUUCAGGAAACUGGGGCUAAUAUCGGAUAGGAGCUUCUGCUGCACGGUGGGGGUUGGAAAGUUACGGCGGUUGGGGAUGGACUCGCGGCUUAUCAGCUUGUUGGUGGGGUAGUGGCUUACCAAGCCUUUGACGGCUAGCCGGCCUGAGAGGGUGACCGGCCACAUUGGGACUGAGAUAGGGCCCAGACUCCUACGGGAGGCAGAAGUGGGGAAUAUUGCACAAUGGGCGGACGCCUGAUGCAGCAACGCCGCGUGCGGGAUGACGGCCUUCGGGUUGUAAACCGCUUUCGCCUGUGACGAAGCGUGAGUGACGGUAAUGGGUAAAGAAGCACCGGCUAACUACGUG
rnacentral:rRNA from 1 species